GACGAACCGUGCGAACGUUGUUCGGAUUCACUGGGCUUAAAGGGCGCGUAGGCGGGUUACCAAGUCAGGGGUGAAAUCUUUCGGCUCAACCGGAAAAGUGCCCCUGAUACUGGUAGUCUUGAGGGAGGUAGGGGCAUGUGGAACUUCCGGUGGAGCGGUGAAAUGCGUAGAUAUCGGAAGGAACGCCGGUGGCGAAAGCGACGUGCUGGUCCUCUUCUGACGCUGAGGCGCGAAAGCCAGGGGAGCGAACGGG
rnacentral:rRNA from 2 species